rnacentral:rRNA from 1 species
UACGUAGGGGGCAAGCGUUGUCCGGAUUUAUUGGGCGUAAAGAGCGUGUAGGCGGCCAGGUAGGUCAGCUGUGAAAACUCGAGGCUCAACCUCGAGACGUCGGUUGAAACCACCUGGCUAGAGUCCGGAAGAGGCGAGUGGAAUUCCUGGUGUAGCGGUGGAAUGCGCAGAUAUCAGGAGGAACACCGAUAGCGAAGGCAGCUCGCUGGGACGGUACUGACGCUGAGGUGCGAAAGCGUGGGGGAGCGAACAGG